rnacentral:rRNA from 1 species
CCCUUAGAUGUCCUGGGCCGUACGCGCGCUACACUGAUGCAUUCAACGAGUUUUACCUUGGCCGAGAGGCCUGGGCAAUCUUUUAAACCUGCAUCGUGAUAGGGAUAGAUUAUUGCAAUUAUUAAUCUUGAACGAGGAAUUCCUAGUAAACGCAAAUCAUCAAUUUGCAUUGAUUACGUCCCUGCCCUUUGUACACACCGCCCGUCGCACCUACCGAUUGAAUGGUCCGGUGAAGCCUCGGGAUUGUGGCCAGUUCACUUUAUUGGGAGUUGGCUGUGAGAACUUGUCUAAACCUUAUCAUUUAGAGGAAGGUGAAGUCGUAACA